CCCCAGAUAGCUGAGAAAGAAUCCGCCUGCAAGGCGGAAAGCCUGGGUUCGAUCCCUGGGUUGGGAA
rnacentral:tRNA from 1 species